UACAGAGGUCUCAACCGUUGUUCGGAUUUAUUGGGCGUAAAGGGUGCGUAGGCGGUCGGGUAAGUCAGACGUGAAAUCCCUCGGCUUAACCGGGGAACUGCGUCUGAUACUGGAUGGCUUGAGUUUGGGAGAGGGACGCGGAAUUCCAGGUGUAGCGGCGAAAUGCGUAGAUAUCUGGAGGAACACCGGUGGCGAAGGCGGCGUCCUGGACCAACACUGACACUGAUGAGCGAAAGCCAGGGGAGCAAACGGG
rnacentral:rRNA from 1 species